CUGAAACCGUGUACGUACAAGCAGUGGGAGCACGCUUCGGCGUGUGACUGCGUACCUUUUGUAUAAUGGGUCAGCGACUUAUAUUCUGUAGCAAGGUUAACCGAAUAGGGGAGCCGAAGGGAAACCGAGUCUUAACUGGGCGUUAAGUUGCAGGGUAUAGACCCGAAACCCGGUGAUCUAGCCAUGGGCAGGUUGAAGGUUGGGUAACACUAACUGGAGGACCGAACCGACUAAUGUUGAAAAAUUAGCGGAUGACUUGUGGCUGGGGGUGAAAGGCCAAUCAAACCGGGAGAUAGCUGGUUCUCCCCGAAAGCUAUUUAGGUAGCGCCUCGUGAAUUCAUCUCCGGGGGUAGAGCACUGUUUCGGCAAGGGGGUCAUCCCGACUUACCAACCCGAUGCAAACUGCGAAUACCGGAGAAUGUUAUCACGGGAGACACACGGCGGGUGCUAACGUCCGUCGUGAAGAGGGAAACAACCCAGACCGCCAGCUAAGGUCCCAAAGUCAUGGUUAAGUGGGAAACGAUGUGGGAAGGCCCAGACAGCCAGGAUGUUGGCUUAGAAGCAGCCAUCAUUUAAAGAAAGCGUAAUAGCUCACUGGUCGAGUCGGCCUGCGCGGAAGAUGUAACGGGGCUAAACCAUGCACCGAAGCUGCGGCAGCGACACUAUGUGUUGUUGGGUAGGGGAGCGUUCUGUAAGCCUGUGAAGGUGUACUGUGAGGUAUGCUGGAGGUAUCAGAAGUGCGAAUGCUGACAUAAGUAACGAUAAAGCGGGUGAAAAGCCCGCUCGCCGGAAGACCAAGGGUUCCUGUCCAACGUUAAUCGGGGCAGGGUGAGUCGACCCCUAAGGCGAGGCCGAAAGGCGUAGUCGAUGGGAAACAGGUUAAUAUUCCUGUACUUGGUGUUACUGCGAAGGGGGGACGGAGAAGGCUAUGUUGGCCGGGCGACGGUUGUCCCGGUUUAAGCGUGUAGGCUGGUUUUCCAGGCAAAUCCGGAAAAUCAAGGCUGAGGCGUGAUGACGAGGCACUACGGUGCUGAAGCAACAAAUGCCCUGCUUCCAGGAAAAGCCUCUAAGCAUCAGGUAACAUCAAAUCGUACCCCAAACCGACACAGGUGGUCAGGUAGAGAAUACCAAGGCGCUUGAGAGAACUCGGGUGAAGGAACUAGGCAAAAUGGUGCCGUAACUUCGGGAGAAGGCACGCUGAUAUGUAGGUGAAGUCCCUCGCGGAUGGAGCUGAAAUCAGUCGAAGAUACCAGCUGGCUGCAACUGUUUAUUAAAAACACAGCACUGUGCAAACACGAAAGUGGACGUAUACGGUGUGACGCCUGCCCGGUGCCGGAAGGUUAAUUGAUGGGGUUAGCGGUAACGCGAAGCUCUUGAUCGAAGCCCCGGUAAACGGCGGCCGUAACUAUAACGGUCCUAAGGUAGCGAAAUUCCUUGUCGGGUAAGUUCCGACCUGCACGAAUGGCGUAAUGAUGGCCAGGCUGUCUCCACCCGAGACUCAGUGAAAUUGAACUCGCUGUGAAGAUGCAGUGUACCCGCGGCAAGACGGAAAGACCCCGUGAACCUUUACUAUAGCUUGACACUGAACAUUGAGCCUUGAUGUGUAGGAUAGGUGGGAGGCUUUGAAGUGUGGACGCCAGUCUGCAUGGAGCCGACCUUGAAAUACCACCCUUUAAUGUUU
rnacentral:rRNA from 1 species